rnacentral:rRNA from 1 species
GCUUGGCGCAGCUACACAUGCAGUCGAGCGGUAGCACAGAGAGCUUGCUCUCGGGUGACGAGCGGCGGACGGGUGAGUAAUGUCUGGGAAACUGCCUGAUGGAGGGGGAUAACUACUGGAAACGGUAGCUAAUACCGCAUAACGUCGCAAGACCAAAGUGGGGGACCUUCGGGCCUCAUGCCAUCAGAUGUGCCCAGAUGGGAUUAGCUAGUAGGUGGGGUAAUGGCUCACCUAGGCGACGAUCCCUAGCUGGUCUGAGAGGAUGACCAGCCACACUGGAACUGAGACACGGUCCAGACUCCUACGGGAGGCAGCAGUGGGGAAUAUUGCACAAUGGGCGCAAGCCUGAUGCAGCCAUGCCGCGUGUAUGAAGAAGGCCUUCGGGUUGUAAAGUACUUUCAGCGAGGAGGAAGGCGUUAAGGUUAAUAACCUUGGUGAUUGACGUUACUCGCAGAAGAAGCACCGGCUAACUCCGUGCCAGCAGCCGCGGUAAUACGGAGGGUGCAAGCGUUAAUCGGAAUUACUGGGCGUAAAGCGCACGCAGGCGGUCUGUUAAGUCAGAUGUGAAAUCCCCGGGCUCAACCUGGGAACUGCAUUUGAAACUGGCAGGCUUGAGUCUUGUAGAGGGGGGUAGAAUUCCAGGUGUAGCGGUGAAAUGCGUAGAGAUCUGGAGGAAUACCGGUGGCGAAGGCGGCCCCCUGGACAAAGACUGACGCUCAGGUGCGAAAGCGUGGGGAGCAAACAGGAUUAGAUACCCUGGUAGUCCACGCUGUAAACGAUGUCGACUUGGAGGUUGUUCCCUUGAGGAGUGGCUUCCGGAGCUAACGCGUUAAGUCGACCGCCUGGGGAGUACGGCCGCAAGGUUAAAACUCAAAUGAAUUGACGGGGGCCCGCACAAGCGGUGGAGCAUGUGGUUUAAUUCGAUGCAACGCGAAGAACCUUACCUACUCUUGACAUCCAGAGAACUUAGCAGAGAUGCUUUGGUGCCUUCGGGAACUCUGAGACAGGUGCUGCAUGGCUGUCGUCAGCUCGUGUUGUGAAAUGUUGGGUUAAGUCCCGCAACGAGCGCAACCCUUAUCCUUUGUUGCCAGCGGUUCGGCCGGGAACUCAAAGGAGACUGCCAGUGAUAAACUGGAGGAAGGUGGGGAUGACGUCAAGUCAUCAUGGCCCUUACGAGUAGGGCUACACACGUGCUACAAUGGCAUAUACAAAGAGAAGCGACCUCGCGAGAGCAAGCGGACCUCAUAAAGUAUGUCGUAGUCCGGAUUGGAGUCUGCAACUCGACUCCAUGAAGUCGGAAUCGCUAGUAAUCGUAGAUCAGAAUGCUACGGUGAAUACGUUCCCGGGCCUUGUACACACCGCCCGUCACACCAUGGGAGUGGGUUGCAAAAGAAGUAGGUAGCUUAACCUUCGGGAGGGCGCUACCACUUGAUGGUGGCCG